rnacentral:rRNA from 1 species
GAUGAACGCUGGCGGCGUGCCUAAUACAUGCAAGUCGAGCGAACGGACGAGAAGCUUGCUUCUCUGAUGUUAGCGGCGGACGGGUGAGUAACACGUGGAUAACCUACCUAUAAGACUGGGAUAACUUCGGGAAACCGUAGCUAAUACCGGAUAAUAUUUUGAACCGCAUGGUUCAAAAGUGAAAGACGGUCUUGCUGUCACUUAUAGAUGGAUCCGCGCUGCAUUAGCUAGUUGGUAAGGUAACGGCUUACCAAGGCAACGAUGCAUAGCCGACCUGAGAGGGUGAUCGGCCACACUGGAACUGAGACACGGUCCAGACUCCUACGGGAGGCAGCAGUAGGGAAUCUUCCGCAAUGGGCGAAAGCCUGACGGAGCAACGCCGCGUGAGUGAUGAAGGUCUUCGGAUCGUAAAACUCUGUUAUUAGGGAAGAACAUAUGUGUAAGUAACUGUGCACAUCUUGACGGUACCUAAUCAGAAAGCAACGGCUAACUACGU